AGCACGAAGGUUAGCUAAUCCUGGUCGGACAUCAGGAGGUUAGUGCAAUGGCAUAAGCUAGCUUGACUGCGAGCGUGACGGCGCGAGCAGGUGCGAAAGCAGGUCAUAGUGAUCCGGUGGUUCUGAAUGGAAGGGCCAUCGCUCAACGGAUAAAAGGUACUCCGGGGAUAACAGGCUGAUACCGCCCAAGAGUUCAUAUCGACGGCGGUGUUUGGCACCUCGAUGUCGGCUCAUCACAUCCUGGGGCUGAAGUAGGUCCCAAGGGUAUGGCUGUUCGCCAUUUAAAGUGGUACGCGAGCUGGGUUUAGAACGUCGUGAGACAGUUCGGUCCCUAUCUGCUGUGGGCGCUGGAGAAUUGAGGGGGGCUGCUCCUAGUACGAGAGGACCGGAGUGGACGCAUCACUGGUGUUCGGGUUGUCAUGCCAAUGGCACUGCCCGGUAGCUAAAUGCGGAAGAGAUAAGUGCUGAAAGCAUCUAAGCACGAAACUUGCCCCGAGAUGAGUUCUCCCUGAGACUUUAAGUCUCCUGAAGGAACGUUGAAGACGACGACGUUGAUAGGCCGGGUGUGUAAGCGCAGCGAUGCGUUGAGCUAACCGGUACUAAUGAACCGUGAGGCUUAACCUU
rnacentral:rRNA from 1 species